rnacentral:rRNA from 1 species
UACGAAGGGUGCAAACGUUGCUCGGAAUUAUUGGGCGUAAAGCGCACGUAGGCGGCUUUGCAAGUCGGAUGUGAAAUCCCUCGGCUCAACCAAGGAAGUGCAUCCGAAACUGCAGAGCUUGAGUACUUAAGAGGAUCGCGGAAUUCCCGGUGUAGAGGUGAAAUUCGUAGAUAUCGGGAGGAACACCAGUGGCGAAGGCGGCGAUCUGGGAAGAUACUGACGCUGAGGCACGAAAGCGUGGGGAGCAAACAGG